ACGUACACUCCUGCGGGAGGCAGCAGUGAGGAAUAUUGGACAAUGGGUGGAAGCCUGAUCCAGCCAUCCCGCGUGCAGGAAGACGGCCCUAUGGGUUGUAAACUGCUUUUAUCUGGGGAUAAACCUACUUACGUGUAAGUAGCUGAAGGUACCAGAAGAAUAAGCACCGGCUAACUCCGUGCCAGCAGCCGCGGUAAUACGGAGGGUGCAAGCGUUAUCCGGAUUUAUUGGGUUUAAAGGGUCUGUAGGCGGACUGAUAAGUCAGUGGUGAAAUCCGACAGCUUAACUGUCGAACUGCCAUUGAUACUGUUAGUCUUGAGUAAGGUUGAAGUGGCUGGAAUAAGUAGUGUAGCGGUGAAAUGCAUAGAUAUUACUUAGAACACCAAUUGCGAAGGCAGGUCACUAAGUCUUAACUGACGCUGAUGGACGAAAGCGUGGGGAGCGAACAGGAUUAGAAACCCCGGUAGUCCCAUGA
rnacentral:rRNA from 1 species